rnacentral:lncRNA from 1 species
UGGUUUAACUACAAUGUUAGCUGUAGGCCAGCCCUCUGGUCCUCCUGCUGUUAUAACUACAAUGUUAGCUGUAGGCCUGCCCUCUGGUCCUCCUGGUGGUUUAACUACAAUGUUAGCUGUAGGCCUGUCCUCGGGUCCUCCUGGUGGUUCAACUACAAUGCUAGCUGUAGGCCUGUCCUCUGGUCCUCCUGGUGGUUUAACUACAAUGUUAGCUGUAGGCCUGCCCUCUGGUCCUCCUGGUGGUUUAACUACAAUGUUAGCUGUAGGCCAGCCCUCUGGUCCUCCUGCUGUUAUAACUACAAUGUUAGCUGUAGGCCUGCCCUCUGGUCCUCCUGGUGGUUUAACUACAUUGUUAGCUGUAGGCCUGCCCUCUGGUCCUCCUGGUGGUUUAACUACAUUGUUAGCUGUAGGCCUGCCCUCUGGUCCUCCUGGUGGUUUAACUACAAUGUUAGCUGUAGGCCUGUCCUCUGGUCCUCCUGCUGUUAUAACUACAUUGUUAGCUGUAGGCCUGCCCUCUGGUCCUCCUGGUGGUUUAACUACAAUGUUAGCUGUAGGCCUGUCCUCUGGUCCUCCUGGUGGUUUAACUACAAUGUUAGCUGUAGGCCAGUCCUCUGGUCCUCCUGGUGGUUCAACUACAAUGUUAGCUGUAGGCCAGUCCUCUGGUCCUCCUUGUGGUUUAACUACAAUGUUAGCUGUAGACCUGUCCUCUGGUCCUCCUGGUGGUUUAACUACAAUGUUAGCUGUAGGCCAGCCCUCUGGUCCUCCUGGUGGUUUAACUACAAUGUUAGCUGUAGGCCAGUCCUCUGGUCCUCCAGGUGGUUUAACUACAAUGUUAGCUGUAGGCCAGCCCUCUGGUCCUCCUUGUGGUUUAACUACAAUGUUAGCUGUAGGCCAGCCCUCUGGUCCUCCUGCUGUUAUAACUACAAUGUUAGCUGUAGGCCUGCCCUCUGGUCCUCCUGCUGUUAUAACUACAAUGUUAGCUGUAGGCCAGCCCUCUGGUCCUCCUUGUGGUUUAACUACAAUGUUAGCUGUAGGCCAGCCCUCUGGUCCUCCUGGUAGUUUAACUACAAUGUUAGCUGUAGGCCUGCCCUCUGGUCCUCCUGGUGGUUUAACUACAAUGUUAGCUGUAGGCCAGCCCUAUGGUCCUCCUGGUGGUUAUAACUACAAUGUUAGCUGUAGGCCAGCCCUCUGGUCCUCCUGGUGUUGUAACUACAAUGUUAGCUGUAGGCCUGUCCUCUGGUCCUCCUGGUGGUUUAACUACAAUGUUAGCUGUAGGCCUGUCCUCUGGUCCUCCUGGUGGUUUAACUACAAUGUUAGCUGUAGGCCUGCCCUCUGGUCCUCCUGGUGGUUUAACUACAAUGUUAGCUGUAGGCCAGCCCUCUGGUCCUCCUGGUGGUUUAACUACAAUGUUAGCUGUAGGCCUGUCCUCGGGUCCUCCUGGUGGUUCAACUACAAUGCUAGCUGUAGGCCUGUCCUCUGGUCCUCCUGGUGGUUUAACUACAAUGUUAGCUGUAGGCCUGUCCUCUGGUCCUCCUGGUGGUUUAACUACAAUGUUAGCUGUAGGCCUGCCCUCUGGUCCUCCU